CAGAAUUGUUUCGGUUGUUGCUUUGUAUUUCAGUUUAUUUUAUUAAAAAUCAUGAACAAUACCACGCUGCACCUUGGUCCUCACUGUCUUACACUGAUGACAGCCGUUACAAGAAGCAGAUACUCAGGUGACAGUUUUAGUAUUCAUCAUUGCAGUCUCUACCAGAAAGUUGGUUGGCCCUCUUGAUGUCACUAAAUGCUUGUGCUGAACUGUUAGACUGCCAGUGGCCAUUGAAGGUGAGCAUUUGCCCACUGAAGUCAGUUACGACGCAGAACUGCAGUCAGGUCAAGACCCUGGUGAGGAUGACGAGCAUGCAG